GAUGAACACUGGCGGCGUGCCUAAUACAUGCAAGUCGAGCGAACAGACGAGGAGCUUGCUCCUCUGACGUUAGCGGCGGACGGGUGAGUAACACGUGGAUAACCUACCUAUAAGACUGGGAUAACUUCGGGAAACCGGAGCUAAUACCGGAUAACAUGUUGAACCGCAUGGUUCAACAGUGAAAGACGGUCUUGCUGUCGCUUAUAGAUGGAUCCGCGCCGCAUUAGCUAGUUGGUAAGGUAACGGCUUACCAAGGCAACGAUGCGUAGCCGACCUGAGAGGGUGAUCGGCCACACUGGAACUGAGACACGGUCCAGACUCCUACGGGAGGCAGCAGUAGGGAAUCUUCCGCAAUGGGCGAAAGCCUGACGGAGCAACGCCGCGUGAGUGAAGAAGGUCUUCGGAUCGUAAAACUCUGUUAUUAGGGAAGAACAAAUGUGUAAGUAACUAUGCACGUCUUGACGGUACCUAAUCAGAAAGCCACGGCUAACUACGUG
rnacentral:rRNA from 1 species